ensembl:lncRNA
CAUUAGGAAAGAGUGAUACUCCUGAAAGUCCGGACUCUUCAUUCGUUUUUUUGAUCAUCACUCACAUCUGGUAAUGGCGGGACAAGGAAAAAAAUCUAACUAUACUGGACCAAAACAAUUUAAAGGGAGGCAUUUGAAAUUGAAUGAGUUGGAAAAUGAAGCCCAAGAUACUCAUAUGUACGAGAAAUAUCUCAAGAGCAAGAGCAACAUCCCCCUAUACCCUGGACCUAAAGAGUUUUCACCAGAGUUUCAUGCAUCUGAUCUAAAACACGACACGCAUAGAUUUAGUUUACAAGGAAUCAAGAAUGAUGAAGGCUUCAAGGAUCCAAACAAUGGCUCAGAGGAUCCAGAUGGACUGUCCCUGGUGUGGUUCAGUCUGGCUGUGCAAGAAAGGGAGAUCCGAUCAGCUGAGGAGACGCUCCUGGAGAAGACCAACAUGCAUGCAGAGCCGGGCUUCCUGAAGAAGUUUGCCUCCUCUCCAGCGUUCAGUGAGAAGUCCAGGUAUGGAGCGUAUCGCUUCACCUUCAAGGUGGAGGACGUGCUGAAGGCCUAUAGCGAGCAGGACACACGCGCUUCAUGAGUGGACGUCUCCAUUUUGUCAGAGGUAAUGGAAGAUCCCUCAACUUAAAUUCACCUGAUCAGCAUGGGAUUGAAGUUGCAGGCUAUCAUAGCCAAGUCACCAAGCAAUCCUAGCAAUAACAUAACCAGAAAUCUGGUUAUUCAGUGCUUGAUGGUGUACCUUGGGGAGUCCAUUGAUCAACUGAUCAAAGAGUACAGUGAUGCUGAUGAGGAUGGUGUGUCACAAGAUCUUUCUGAACAGAGGAUGAAAAUCUACAAAAUCAAGGCUGUUGGAUCUGAGGAGGAUGACAUUGGCAUUGUGCUGGAGGGUGUGAGAGUUAUGCCUGCUCUGGGCAAUUUUCCAAGAGCAUGCGCAAUGCUGGUUGGAUUGACAUAUGCAGUCGAUCUUGCCUAUCCCAAAGAGCUAAAAUACACCUUGGAAGUAUUCCAGAAACUUUUCCUUGAACUGGAUUGUGCUAAGCUCUCACCAAAAGUGAACAGCCUCAAGAACAAGUUAUUGGCUUAAGUGAGGACUCUGAAAGAAUGAAAGGGAAGUAAGCUCACUGAAAACCUUUGGUUUGUCUUUGUUAGAUGCAGCUAUCUUUUCAGUUUUUAAGUUAAUUUCAUCUUAUUCAUAUCUUACCCAAAUGACCUGCAAUGUGUCAGGCUGUAUUUGUGCUCUUCAUUUUAAUGUUUGUUUUUUAUUACCUACAAGUUUCUUAGGAAUAUUCUGUUUGAAAGGCAACAAAUUGGAGGAAUCACUAGUGAAGCUUUUCUUUGUUUAUAGUGUAUGUUACUAUAAAACAUUAGUUUAAAACAACUUUAAAAUUUAACAGAAGUGCAGUCCUGUAGCUGUAGAAAUGUUACUUCCUCUUACAUGUGUCUUAGAUUUUCUCAGGUUAAACAUCCAAAUUGGGAUAAAAGGUUGAUUUACAUUAUUGAUAUUCCAUGUACAUGAGUGAAAAACCUUUGUUCUACAGUUAUAUUGAGUGAUUCAAUUUAACAAAAGAUUGACAAACUAAAGUUUUUGUUUGUCAAUCAUAAAUAAGUAACAGAGAUAAAGGAAACGGUAAAGGAUAUUCAAAUUUCAGGUUCAUGUUGAUAUUACAGUCUAAAGA